rnacentral:rRNA from 1 species
CCUACGGGCGGCAGCAGUGGGGAAUAUUGCACAAUGGGGGAAACCCUGAUGCAGCGACGCCGCGUGAGUGAAGAAGUAUUUCGGUACGUAAAGCUCUAUCAGCAGGGAAGAAAAUGACGGUACCUGACUAAGAAGCCCCGGCUAACUACGUGCCAGCAGCCGCGGUAAUACGUAGGGGGCAAGCGUUAACCGGAUUUACUGGGUGUAAAGGGAGCGUAGACGGCAGCGCAAGUCUGGAGUGAAAUCCCAUGGCUUAACCAUGGAACUGCUUUGGAAACUGUGCAGCUAGAGUGCAGGAGAGGUAAGCGGAAUUCCUAGUGUAGCGGUGAAAUGCGUAGAUAUUAGGAGGAACACCAGUGGCGAAGGCGGCUUACUGGACUGUAACUGACGUUGAGGCUCGAAAGCGUGGGGAGCAAACAGGAUUAGAUACCCCGGUAGUC